GGUGGAUGGAAAGGAGGAUGGAGCGGCGGCGGUGGUGGUGGCGGAUGGAGCGGCGGCGGCGGCGGCGGUGGCUGGUGGUAAAGGACAACCGAGGACCGCGAAUAAUUAGAAGGAAAUUUUGCUCACCGAUCACCACCAGUGCACAUCUUGGCUGUAAUCACACCGAUUGUCGGUUCACGAAGAAAUAGCCUGACCCCUCUUGUGUGGUUCAUCCAUCUUUGAUUCCUCCUUCUUUAUCCCUCUCUCUUUCUCUCGCUCUCGCUCUCUCUCUCUCUUUGUUUCCUUCACGCGAACACGACCAUCGCGGAGGAAUGAAAAGAAGAACGCGACAGCGACACCGUCGCGACAAGAAACGCGCGGUUCCAUCUGCCGCGACUUCCGGAAUAUAAGCAGACACAGAGAGAAGAAAGAAAAGGACAACAGCGAGAGCAGCGGCCACCAUCACGCUUCCGAGGUUCCCUUUCUUCGUAACGCAACGAGAUCGAGCUUUUGGUUGUACAUACAAGCUGGUCGAGAUUGCCAAUCCACUUCCGGCAAACCCUUGGACGGACCUCUUUCGUCGACCUGCGACAUUCGCAUACAAAAAUCCCCGAGCUAAACGCGUGUUUUCUUUCGAUUAGGAAUUCGAUAUCCCUAUUCGUUUCGUUGAAUUCACGGAAUAUAUCCGAACGAGAGGGUACGGGCUACUCUUCGACCAAAAUAUUUAGCAAAUAAUAUUGUAGAUAUUGUAAAUUCGAUCCCACGUCGUUCAUACAGUAUAUCCGCGCAUAAUUCGGUUUCACGAAGGAAAAGGAUUGAAAAAUGAAGAAGUUGUAACGACGUGGGGGAUAGAAUAUUGUACAGCAUAUUUUGUACUUCUUUUUAUAUUGGAUUUCCACGUGGGACCAGCAACGAUUAAAAAUUCAUUGACACACAAAA
rnacentral:lncRNA from 1 species